rnacentral:misc_RNA from 1 species
UCCGAGUUGACCCCGGCAGUCUCCUAUGAGUCCCCGCCAUCACGCGCUGGCAACAUAGAACGAGGGUUGCGCUCGUUGCGGGACUUAACCCAACAUCUCACGACACGAGCCGACGACAACCAUGCACCACCUGUAUAGGACCCUUACGGACCUCGCAUCUCUGCGAGAUUCCCUAUAUGUCAAACCCAGGUAAGGUUCUUCGCGUUGCAUCGAAUUAAUCCGCAUGCUCCGCCGCUUGUGCGGGCCCCCGUCAAUUCCUUUGAGUUUUAACCUUGCGGCCGUACUCCCCAGGCGGAUAACUUAAUGCGUUAGCUGCGCCACCAAAAGCCUAAGGCCCCUGACAGCUAGUUAUCAUCGUUUACGGCGUGGACUAC